rnacentral:lncRNA from 12 species
CCCGCCCGCGUCACCCCGUGAGGACGCCCGCCCGCGUCACCCCGAGAGGACGUCCACCCCGUCACCCCGUGAGGACGCCCGCCCCGUCACCCCGAGAGGACGCCCGCCCGCGUCACCCCGUGAGGACGCCCGCCCCGUCACCCCGAGAGGACGCCCGCCCGCGUCACCCCGAGAGGACGCCCGCCCGCGUCACCCCGAGAGGACGCCCGCCCCGUCACCCCGAGAGGACGCCCGCCCGCGUCACCCCGUGAGGACGCCCGCCCGCGUCACCCCGAGAGGACGCCCGCCCCGUCACCCCGAGAGGACGCCCGCCCGCGUCACCCCGAGAGGACGCCCGCCCCGUCACCCCGAGAGGACGCCCGCCCGCGUCACCCCGAGAGGACGCCCGCCCCGUCACCCCGAGAGGACGCCCGCCCCGUCACCCCGAGAGGACGCCCGCCCGCGUCACCCCGAGAGGACGCCCGCCCCGUCACCCCGAGAGGACGUCCGCCCCGUCACCCCGUGAGGACGCCCGCCCGCGUCACCCCGAGAGAAACUAGAACCGCCGGAGCCCUGAGACAGGGAAUCCCCGCGACCACAGGCCGUACCCGGUGCUCUCCCGGCUUGGACCCCAGUGAAUCCUGGACCCAAAGGAAGACCAGCAGCAAAAGAAAAGUGUACGGCUAAUGUUGAGGUAAGUCCUAAAGAUAAAUUUGUGUGGGUGCAUUUUGAGGGGGUGGGGAGGUGGUUCAUUAAUGCUGCCUUGAGGAUAAUUAAUAUUGCUUUUGUUACUUGCCUGUUGCAUGGUUUAUUCCAAUUUAUUGAGAGUGGACCCCAUGCUUAGAGGUUAGAGCAGAAUACCAUCUGGAUUUGAGAUCCUCCUGUGCCAUUUACUAACUCGGACCUUCAGCAAGCUAACUAAGCUUUUUGCACCUCUUUCUUCUGUGGAUUCAAUGGUAACAACUAAAUCUUGGAAUGUUGGGGGCCCCUGGGUGGCUCAGUGGUUGGGCAUCUGCCUUCGGCUCAGGGCGUGACCCCGUGGGUCCUGGGAUUGAGUCCCGCAUCGGGCUCCCCACGUGGAGCCUUCUUCUCCCUCUCCCUACGUCUCUGCCUCUCUCUGUGUCUGUCUCUCUUGAAUAAAUAAAUAAAAUCUUUUAAAAAAUUCA